rnacentral:rRNA from 1 species
AUGAACGCUGGCGGCGUGCCUAAUACAUGCAAGUCGAGCGAACAGACGAGGAGCUUGCUCCUCUGACUUUAGCGGCGGACGGGUGAGUAACACGUGGAUAACCUACCUAUAAGACUGGGAUAACUUCGGGAAACCGGAGCUAAUACCGGAUAAUAUAUUGAACCGCAUGGUUCAAUAGUGAAAGACGGUUUUGCUGUCACUUAUAGAUGGAUCCGCUCCGCAUUAGCUAGUUGGUAAGGUAACGGCUUACCAAGGCAACGAUGCGUAGACGACCUGAGAGGGUGAUCGGCCACACUGGAACUGAGACACGGUCCAGACACCUACGGGAGGAAGCAGUAGGGAAUCGUCCGCAAUUGGCGAAAGCCUGACGGAGCAACGCCGAGUGAGUGAUGAAGGUCUUCGGAUCGUAAAACUCUGUUAAUAGGGAAGAACAAAUGUGUAAGUAACUAUGCACGUCUUGACGGUACCUAAUCAGAAAGCCACGGCUAGCUACGUG